CCUACGGGUGGCAGCAGUGAGGAAUAUUGGUCAAUGGGCGGGAGCCUGAACCAGCCAAGUCGCGUGAGUGAAGACGGUCCUAUGGAUUGUAAACCUCUUUAGGCGGGGAGCAAUGCCGGGCACGCGUGCCCGGAGGGAGAGUACCCUCCGAAUCAGCAUCGGCUAACUCCGUGCCAGCAGCCGCGGUACUACGGAGACUGCGAGCGUUAGCCGGAUUUAUUGGGGUAAAAGGGUGCGGAGGCGGAUUUUUAAGUCAGCGGUAAACUGUCCGGGUUCAAACCGGGCCGGCCGUUGAAACUGGGGAUCUUGAGUGGGCGAGAGGUAAGCGGAAUGCGUGGUGUAGCGGUGAAAUGCAUAGAUAUCACGCAGAACUCCGAUUGCGAAGGCAGCAUACCGGCGCCCGACUGACGCUGAGGCACGAAAGCGUGGGGAUCGAACAGGAUUAGAUACCCUUGUAGUC
rnacentral:rRNA from 1 species